UGGGGAAUAUUGGACAAUGGGCGAAAGCCUGAUCCAGCCAUGCCGCGUGUGUGAAGAAGGUCUUCGGAUUGUAAAGCACUUUAAGUUGGGAGGAAGGGCAUUAACCUAAUACGUUAGUGUUUUGACGUUACCGACAGAAUAAGCACCGGCUAACUCUGUGCCAGCAGCCGCGGUAAUACAGAGGGUGCAAGCGUUAAUCGGAAUUACUGGGCGUAAAGCGCGCGUAGGUGGUUUGUUAAGUUGGAUGUGAAAUCCCCGGGCUCAACCUGGGAACUGCAUUCAAAACUGACUGACUAGAGUAUGGUAGAGGGUGGUGGAAUUUCCUGUGUAGCGGUGAAAUGCGUAGAUAUAGGGAGGAACACCAGUGGCGAAGGCGACCACCUGGACUAAUACUGACACUGAGGUGCGAAAGCGUGGGGAGCAAACA
rnacentral:rRNA from 1 species